AGGGCCUGAAGCAGGGAGUGAACUAUCGCUUCCGUGUCUGCGCGGAGAAUCUUGUUGGCAAGGGUCCCGACGCCUUCCACCCCAAGGAGGGCGAGGCUGCGUUUGUCGCUGGUGAACCACCAAGUGCACCAGUGCUAGACAUCAGUGCCCUGCCCAAGGACCUGGAGGUUGUUGAGCCUGAGGACAUCUCACUGAAGAUCCCCAUCACAGGACAGCCUCCGCCUGAAAUCACCUGGACUGUCAACGGAGAGGACGUCAAGUCUUCUGAGCGUCUGUCGCUGAUCAGUGCGACGGAGCCGUACACAUUUGUGGAGCUGGCGAUUAAGCCGAGUCAGCGCUCCGACACCGGGAAGUACCGCAUCACCGCCAAGAAUGAGCACGGGGAGGCUGGCGGAGUC